rnacentral:rRNA from 1 species
GUGCUGACCGGGUCAAAAUUAGACAAUCAUGGUGCACUAUUUGAUACGGCCCCACACUUAAAAAAGAAAGCCUCAAACUUGGAAUCUCAUAUGCUAGUCGUCGGUCUUCACGUGCCAAGAACUAGCGAGUCUCGAUCUGCAUCGGCACCAACCACGGCGACGACAUGCGCGCCGACGGCAAGCCCCACGCGGUGUGCGUCCCGUACCCGGCGCAGGGGCACGCCACCCCGAUGAUGAAGCUGGCCAAGGUCCUCCACUCCAGGGGCUUCCACGUCACCUUCGUCUACACCGAGCACAAACACCGGCGCCUUGUCCGCUCCCGCGGCGCCGGCGCCGUCGCGGGCCUCCCGGACUUCCGCUUCGCCACCAUCCCCGACGGCCUGCCGCCGUCCGACCCAGACGCCACCCAGGACCAGGCGUCCAUCUGCCACUCCACCACCACGACCUGCCUCCCCCACCUGAAGAGCCUGCUUGGCGGCCUCAACAACACCGCACCGGGGACGCCGCGGGUGACGUGCGUCGUCGCGGACAGCAUCAUGAGCUUCGCGGUGGACGCCGCUGCGGAGCUCGGCGUGCCGUGCGCGCUGUUCUGGACCGCCAGCGCGUGCGGUUACAUGGGCUAUUACAACUUCCGGUUCCUGGUAGAUCAGGGCCUUACUCCUCUCAAAGGUGAAGAGCAACUGACGAACGGCUACUUGGACACGCCGGUGGCACAGGCUCUCGGGAUGAGCAAGCACAUGCGCCUCCGCGACUUCCCGUCCUUCAUCCGCACGACGGACCCGGACGACAUCCUGCUCAACUUCAUGAUACACGAGCUAGAGCGGGCGAGCCGUGCGGACGCCAUCAUCGUCAACACCUUUGACGAGUUCGAGCAACCGGCACUCGACGCCAUGCGCGCCAUCCUCACCCCGCCAGUCUACACCAUCGGCCCGCUCAACUUUGUUGUGGAGCAGCUAGUCCCCGACGGCGGCGAUGGCAGCGUCCCCCUCGCUGCGAUUCGCCCCAGCCUUUGGAGGGAAGACCGGUCCUGCCUAGAGUGGCUCCGCGGCAGGGAGCCCCAGUCCGUGGUGUACGUCAACUUCGGGAGCAUCACCACCAUGACCAGCCUUGAGCUGGUGGAGUUCGCCUGGGGGCUGGCCAACUGCGGCUACGACUUCCUCUGGAUCGUGAGGAACGACCUGGUGAAGGGUGACGCCGCAGUGCUGCCCCCGGACUUCGUAGAGGCGACCAAGGGCAGGUGUUUCUUGGGGAGCUGGUGCGAGCAGGAGGCGGUGCUGCGGCACGAGGCCGUGGGCAUCUUCCUGACGCACUACGGGUGGAACUCCAUGAUGGAGGGGCUCAGCGCCGGGCUGCCGAUGCUGGGCUGGCCCUUCUUCGCCGAGCAGCAGACCAACUGCCGCUACGCGUGCGUGGAGUGGGGCGUUGGGAUGGAGGUCGGCGACGACGUGCGCCGGGAGGUGGUCGAGGAGAGGAUAAGGAUGGUGAUGGGUGCUGACGAGGUGGGGAAGGAGAUGAGGCGGAAGGCGAUGGAGUGGAAGGAGAUCGCCGUCCGUGCGACGACGCAACCUUGUGGCAGAUCGUUCGCCAACCUUGAGGUUCUGUUCAAGAAUAUACAAGCACCACCGUUGGAUCGUCCUUCUCCCGCGGCCGUGCAAACAGGAUAUCAAUUUUGGGUCUGUCUAUGUCACAUCUAGAUGUGAGAUAUUAUCUCACAUCUAACUCCCUCUCACAUCUAAUUCCCUCGCCUUUGAUUUUUAGGCAUUUAGAGUUCAAAAAAGGUACGAUUUGGACCUGCUCUACAAGCUCUGGAUUUGAAACAUACUUUUCUCUUCCUGGAAUCAUAUGAUUGUGGAGACACUCAGACACUACACAUGCAGCGUUUUC